AACGCGAAGAACCUUACCUGGGUUUGACAUCCCCGGACCGCCCUAGAGAUAGGGUUUCCCCUUCGGGGGCCGGGAGACAGGUGCUGCAUGGCUGUCGUCAGCUCGUAUCGUGAGAUGUCGGGUUAAGUCCCUUAACGAGCGCAACCCUUGUCCCUUGUUGCCAUCAUUCAGUUGGGCACUCCAGGGAGACCGCCGGUGUUAAACCGGAGGAAGGUGGGGAUGACGUCAAGUCCUCAUGGCCUUUAUAUCCAGGGCUACACACGUGCUACAAUGGCCGAUACAAAGGGUUGCUAACCCGCGAGGGGGAGCUAAUCUCAUAAAGUCGGUCUCAGUUCGGAUUGAAGUCUGCAACUCGACUUCAUGAAGCUGGAAUCGCUAGUAAUCGCGGAUCAGAACGCCGCGGUGAAUACGUUCCCGGGCCUUGUACACACCGCUCGCGA
rnacentral:rRNA from 1 species